AGGGUCAUUGCUAUAGGCAAAACAAAGGGAGAAAUAAGCCCUGGACUUGUUCAGGUGAACAGAAACUCACACCCAUUCCAGACACCCUUGACUUGUUCCACCUCAGAUCCUGCUGCCCUCUUAGACUAUCAUGGUGUCAGAAAUGAUCUUACAAGCAUCUGGGAGCCACUGCUGGCAGGGGCAGCUGAGUUCCAGCAGUGUUGCCUGUGCCAGGCCAUCCCUCUCAUUUGCCAGCCAGAAAUAAAAAGAUGUGCUCCCUGUAAGAGGACUUUGAAGGGAGGGUGGCCAUCAUGUUCACCACAAUUAGAGAGAAGACUUGUAAAAAGUAUGCUAUGGGAUUAUAAAAGGACAACCUUGCUACUUUUUAUGUCUCUAGUUCAAAGCUGCCAGGCCUCUCUUUCUCUGCUGGAGUAAGGCUGAUUUAGACCACAAGAUACAGACUGUUACAGAUAAAUUGCAAACUUCAGGCCAAAGCAGGAACAAAAUGUAGUUUUUAAAGAGGCAGGUAGAGCUCGCAGAGAAAUGCAUCAACCCUUCCCAUUCAUCUCUGACCUUUUACAGAAUAUGAAAACUCAGUCAAUUAAAGAAAACCAAAACUAAAAAGCCAAACCAAAAACCCCAAACCAACUCCAAACUUUUUUUUUUUUUAACUAAACACUACAUCUGGAUUUACUAAAAUUAUAGUCAAGACCACUGGAAAAUUGCUAGGGUGAUAAAACAGCUUGUAUCAUAACCACCACUUUCAUUCUGCUGUGUGGUUUGAGAACUCAUCUGGUUUACUCUUGGCAUUUUUCUUGUCUGAAAAUAUGUUGCUACAUGAUCCUUAGCGGUUAAAACUAUGGCUGAGUCAUUCUAGUCUGCCACAGUCAACUUAUCCUUCAGAAAGCCUGCUCCCACCACAGUGUUUGGAGAGCGAUUGGACAUGCUUUAGCUCCUGCAGAGCCUCCCACGGAAGGAGGCUGUAUAUCCACAGCUUGCAAACAUACAGGAAGUUUUGUGAAAGGCACUAGCCAAGAAAAUGAAAGAAAAGUGUCUAAACAAAGUAAGAGCAAAUGCAAAGCUUAUUUCUGUAGUCGUUAGCCUCUAUCAAAACUUGGCCAGAGGGUAUUCUAGAAAACAGACUGCUUCCUGCACAUCUCAUCUCCCACUUGUAGGCUCUCACCGAGAGAUGAGGAUCUCUCUACAGAUCAUCUGUCUGACUGAUUAGUCAGAUGGGAAGAAAAAAAGGAUGCAAGAGAACCAGAACAGGGAGAAAUGAGAGAUGGAGACAAGGUCGACUGAGAGCAUGCAGUGGGAUGGAGAGAAGUGAGCCUGCCAAAUAAGCUCACUAAAACAAGAUCACUUUCCAUUGUCCUCCAC